rnacentral:rRNA from 1 species
CCAGCACCCCGAGUGGUCGGGACGAUUAUUGGGCCUAAAGCAUCCGUAGCCGGUUUUACAAGUCCUCCGUUAAAUCCAACUGCUUAACAGAUGGGCCGCGGAGGAUACUAUAAGACUAGGAGGCAGGAGAGGCAAGCGGUACUCAGUGGGUAGGGGUAAAAUCCGUUGAUCCAUUGAAGACCACCAGUGGCGAAGGCGGCUUGCCAGAAUGCGCUCGACGGUGAGGGAUGAAAGCUGGGGGAGCAAACCGGAUUAGAUACCCGGGUAGUCCCAGCUGUAAACGAUGCAGACUCGGUGAUGGACCAGCUUCAUGCUAGUCCAGUGCCGCAGGGAAGCCGUUAAGUCUGCCGCCUGGGUGGUACGGUCGCAAGACUG